ACAAAAUGCCGCAGGAUUACAUGAAAUCAGAAAUGUAUCUCGUCAAGUGGUUGCGAACCAGCAAUUUCCACAUAGUUGCGGCGGAAGAGAGACUAUUUCAGCACUUGGAGUGGAGAAAAGAGCGUGGAAUUGAUGAUUUAGACCUGAAAUCGGAAUUUUUAGAUGACGACAUACGGUUUUACCUAGAUGGGAGGGAUAAACUCGGGCG